AAUAGAUACCCGGGUAGUCCACGCCGUAAACGAUGAGUGCUAGGUGUCGGGGGUCCUACCCUCGGUGCCGAAGGUAACCCAUUAAGCACUCCGCCUGGGGAGUACGGCCGCAAGGCUGAAGCUCAAAGGAAUUGACGGGAGCCCGCACAAGCGGUGGAGCAUGUGGUUUAAUUCGAAGCAACGCGAAGAACCUUACCAGGGCUUGACAUCCCGCUGACCGCUCCAGAGAUGGAGCUUCCCUUCGGGGCAGCGGUGACAGGUGGUGCAUGGUUGUCGUCAGCUCGUGUCGUGAGAUGUUGGGUUCAGUCCCGCAACGAGCGCAACCCUUAUCGCUAGUUGCCAGCAUUCAGUUGGGCACUCUAGCGAGACAGCCGGUGAAAGCCGGAGGAAGGUGGGGAUGACGUCAAAUCAUCAUGCCCCUUAUGUCCUGGGCUACACACGUGCUACAAUGGCCGGUACAAUGGGUCGCAACCCGCGAGGGGGAGCUAAUCCCACAAAACCGGUCUCAGUUCGGAUCGCAGGCUGC
rnacentral:rRNA from 1 species